GGAGUCUAGAAAAAAUGGCAGAGUUCCUGAUCAGUCCUAAUAGUGUUUGCACUUCUGAGGUCAGCUGGUUAAAUUUUGAGAGAAGAAGGAAACAACAAACAUAAUGAACUGAGGAUCUGACCUGACAUCCUGGUGUGAUAACUGACACAGCCAGCCUUCCUCCUCUGCAAGUUGGAAAGAUUUAGGAGUGAAUUAAGGCUUUCAUGUUUCUUCAGGUGUUGCUGUCACAACCUCACCAUAUAGAUAUGAGCCCUGCAUUCCUGCUGAGCUGUUUGGCUUGGAGGGAUAUUUGAAGAGUAAAAAAAAUGAAUGAAAAAAAAUUUCUCAGUCAUGAGCCUUCAGUCUUUGCUCAGGAGAGACCACCACAUUGUCAAGACUCUGACAGCACAUGUCUGUGAAAACACACUCUGCUUACCUGCUACAAAUGUUGUGUGGGUAUUGUUUUAGAGGUGGUUUCCCUGCAGUGUGGUUUACACUGUGAUAAAAAUACUAGGG
rnacentral:lncRNA from 1 species